UACCUUGAUUUCCAUUUUCGUCCUCGAAAGAUAAAAUUAAUCGAAUUCAUCUCCGAAAGAUGGCCAACAUGGUCACGUUCGUCCUUCCAUCAUCUCCUUCGCUGAGAUGGCAAACAUUCGCUGAUGUGUCCCGUUAACUGGCAGCAUGACAGACGCUAAGUAGCACCCUCUUAAUGCUGACAAGACAAGUCUUUUAAAACAAUUCAAAUUAGUCCCUAAGUAGAUGAACCAUAAUCCCAAAUUCUUGGGAUUACCUAGCUACUUAGAAAUGCAGAGCAAUGCCGUCCCAACAACUGCACUCUAACCACCGUCUGCAACCGUUCCCCUGUCCAUGUUGCCUUAACCCUCAACCUCGAGUACCUCUGUAACUCCAUUGCCGGCUCCAUUGCCGCCGUCCACUUCAUCCUCCAGCACUCUCUUGCCCUGAGAACAUCUUCUUCCAUUUCCUUGUCUCUGACUCCAAUCUCAAUUUCCUUGUUCAAUCCACCUUUUCGCAGUUAACAGGACAAUUUCCUAUGUUCUGUUCUUGAGAUGGGGGUACAAUUUUGUAUUCACAGAUGCCGAUAUCAUGUGGUUCAGGGACCCAUUUCCUCGGUUUCACCAUGAUGCAGAUUUUCAGAUAGCAUGCCAUCAUUUCAUGGGUAGCUCAUAUGAUUUAGAGAAUAGACCCAAUGGCGAGUUUAACUUUGUAAAA